rnacentral:tRNA from 1 species
GGCUAGAUAGCUCAGUUGGUCAGAGUCGAAGAAUCAUAAUCUUUUGGUCGUGGGUUCGAAUCCCUCUCUAGCCA